rnacentral:rRNA from 1 species
AACGAACGCUGGCGGCAGGCCUAACACAUGCAAGUCGAACGGGAUCUUCGGAUCUAGUGGCGGACGGGUGAGUAACGCGUGGGAACGUGCCCUUUGGUUCGGAAUAGCCCUGGGAAACUGGGAGUAAUACCGGAUGAGCCCUUCGGGGGAAAGAUUUAUCGCCAAAGGAUCGGCCCGCGUUGGAUUAGGUAGUUGGUGGGGUAAUGGCCUACCAAGCCGACGAUCCAUAGCUGGUUUGAGAGGAUGAUCAGCCACACUGGGACUGAGACACGGCCCAGACUCCUACGGGAGGCAGCAGUGGGGAAUUUUAGACAAUGGGGGAAACCCUGAUCUAGCCAUGCCGCGUGAGCGAUGAAGGCCUUAGGGUUGUAAAGCUCUUUCGUGGGGGAAGAUAAUGACUGUACCCCAAGAAGAAGCCCCGGCUAACUCCGUGCCAGCCGCCGCGGUAAUAC